UUCGAUCUCAUGACUUCAUGAUCCCCGGUCUCUCAAAGUGCUGGGAUUACAGGCGUGAGCCACCACAACCGGUCUCUGUGCUUAAUUUUUUAGCCCAUGAGAGCUAAGGCUGUGCCUGCUGCAUUUACCAAUAUCGGUGCCUGACAUGUGGCGAGACCCAUUUCACAGAGAAUGGAUGAGUGAAUGACAGGCUGAGUGGGUGAUGAGUGGGUGGAUGAACCAAUAGUAGGAACACGCUACAUCUACUGUAACCUGGCAGAGAUCUAGCAUUAAGUAAAAGAAAGCCCACCCCUUUGAUUGCUGGGCUCAGGUCAGUCUUGGAAAUUGAUGGGGAAUCACUAUCCUGGCGACCACACCUGGGUCAAGGCUUCCUCUUGUGGCUGCAGCACCUGACCUCCUGCAGGUCUCUGUGCCCUCCUUCAGGGUCUUCCCCCACAACAAAUCAAGACAGAUCAGAGAUCUACCUCUAGAAUUCCACUCUUAAAGGUUGUUCCUUGAAACCACUUCUGGUAAGAAAAUCUCCAUUAGGUUUGCAUCAAUAAAACAGGGCCACUACAAGUUUGAGAGUGUGAGAGAUUUAUGAUCAGAAUUACACUUUAUGCACAUGGGAGGAGCUGAGGAAGACAAGGUCUUGAGGAGAGAAGUCAGAAGGUGAAGGAGCCAGUCAGUAGCCAGGGCUUCUGGAGGUCUGGGCAGGACAGGCUGGAGUGGCAGGGACAUGAGAGGAUCAGAGCAGGCCAGGCCAUGCAGUGGGACUUUGAGCUGGGAGAACAGGAAAAGGCCAAGGAAACCUGCUUCUGGGGAAACUGUUCCCUCUGUGUGGGGGCCACCCCUGCAGGUGCACUGCCAAACACUGGGGGCAGCCUGGCUGCUGUUGGCCAGCAUUUGAGAAGAUGAACUGGACACAGGGUUCAGAAGAAACAGGACUUCCAAGGUCUGUUGGAUGCCUCUGUAUCUGAUGGUCACUGAUUCUCACUGUCUGACCACAAUGACCUGCCAAUUGUUAUAGUGACGGUUUUAUAUCCAUCUUCUAAAUUUUACCAAAUUGUAUUUGGUAAAAUACAAAUUUUACAUAAUGACUUAAUACAACCCAGCACAGGAGGGAUUCUCCCAGAUUAGGCACCAGAUCAACAACUGUCUCAACCUGCCAUGGUCCGUGGACUCCACUCCGGGGGACACCUGUGCUGCCCAGGUGACUGUGGACACAACUUGUAUGCAGAUGUUCUAGACACUGGCUACUAACUGUUCUUUUAAUCCUGUGCCUGGAAUCUCACUCCACCCAGAGGCAGUGCUCUGCCUCCUGCUUCUGUUUCCUUCCUGAGCUUCCGUCCUGCUGGAGUUGCGGGGACAUCAGACUCCUGCUCAGAGUGCAGCGACCUGUGGAGUUGAAGGGAAGCUCACCUCUUGCUGCCUUCCUGGACCCAGUUCUUUUAUAAGCAAAGCAAGUGCUCUGGUCUCUCUUUGAACUCUGCAAUAUGAGAAAUAUGCUUCAUGAAUUUGUAGCUGAUCAGCUCAAUGAUUUGAUAGCAAACUCAAAGUGGAAUCUUCAUAUCUGCAGAAAUUACCCUGCAUUUCUGUGAAGAUGGCGAGAAUACUGUGUGGUAGAGAUACCUUCUCUCCAUGUAGAGACCUGGCCCCCAAACAAGACAGAGCAGAGAGGGCCAAAGAGCCCAAAACAUGUCUCAGAUGGUUGAAAGACAAUUUCCCAGGACACUCCUGCUGACAACAAUUGGUCCCUCAUAUUGCACGCCUAACCACCCUUCCCCCCAGAUCAGCUGAGUCCCCAGGAUAUCACACAUCCCAGCAUCUUCCAACAAGCAAAAAUACUUCGCAUGCCAGCCUCCUUCCUGCACCACAUUGACUAACCCCAGAAACAGACUUUCCAGAAAAAAGCUCUGUCUUCUCUUGGCCCAGUCUAGCCUGGUAGGUUUAAUUCAUGAUUUGUGUGACCUUUUAACUUACUCAAAGGAGAACACAUGAUUUCAGAGUAAAGAAUGUUAAUUUCAUUUGUAUAAAUUGGACCUAAACAGUAAACUGAGUACUUUUCUUCCAUCAGUGUCUUAAAUUGGACAAUGGUAAAACAAGUCUUAGAUGCUAGAACUUUUUAGGUCCUGGUGUUUUUCAUAUGGAAGUUUCCAGUUACCCAGUCCAGAGCAUGGAAUAGAUGAGCAUUAGUAAGUCACUCUACGCUUGAGAUGAUUUUCUAUGGGUAUCUUUUCUGAGUUAGAGUUAACAAAGGUGGGAAGUGAUCCCAGAAGAAAGGCAUGAGGGCAGUUCAUGAGGGAACUCAUGUGAUGUGACAGUCCCAUUGGGCACCAGUGACUGGGGGAAUGGAGGAGUCUGGGGCAUGAAUGGGGAUGGCAGAGGGGAUCCUGUUUUGCAGGAAAGACAAUGAGCUCACCUCUUUGUGCCCUAUGUUAGGGGCAGUGUUGGUGCAUCCUACAGGACAUGCCCAGCAGACAGAGGAGUGGCUGUAGGAUGAGAAGAUGAACUCAGAGAUGCAGUGUGAGGCCUCCGGGUACAGACAGAUCUGGAGCCCAAAACGAUGAGCCAUACAUUGAUAUUGUUAAAACGGAGGUUAUACAUAUUUAAAGUGUCACCCAAGUGUGUUCUAGUAUAAAUGCUGUGACCCUGAGUUCCUGGGGAUUGAGAGAGGAAGUGAUGUCACUGUGGGAACUGCCCUGUGGGGACAAGGACGUCCGUCAUCCUCUGCUCCUGCUCACAGUGACACUGAUCUGGUAACCCCCCGUCCUGGCCUGACCCUGCCAUGGGCACCAGGCUCCUCUGCUGGGUGGUCCUGGGUUUCCUAGGGACAGAUCACACAGGUGCUGGAGUCUCCCAGUCUCCCAGGUACAAAGUAAUAAAGAAGGGACAGGAUGUAGCUCUCAGGUGUGAUCCAAUUUCGGGUCAUGCAGCCCUCUAUUGGUACCAACAGGCCCUGGGGCAGGGCCCGGAGUUUCUGACUUACUUCAAUUAUAAAGAUCAACCAGACAAAUCAGGGCUGCCCAAUAAUCGGUUCUCUGCAGAGAGGCCUGAGGGAUCCUUCUCCACUCUGACGAUCCAGCGAACAGAGCAGCAGGACUCGGCCGUGUAUCUCUGUGCCAGCAGCUUAGCCACAGCGUGGCACAGUCACCUCCUUCCUGUUCACAAACCUCAUCCUUCACUCUCCUGCAGUUCCCAGAGACCCUUGACAGAGGCCUGUCUUUGCUCCUCACUUUUCAUGGGAAAGAGGUGGAUUUGGACUUCGGCUGUCCUUUGGGUAGAAAGAGACCACAGAUUCAUUUCUGAAACACAGUGACUGCAAAUGUAGGUGGUGAAAACAAUCAGGGCCCACUGUGCUCUAGGAGUCCUCGCAGCCAGCUCACUUCUCCAAGCAAGGAGUGGGUGUCUCAGCCUCGGCCUUCAGGGCAGACAUGCAUCUUCUAUAGGUUUUGGAGGCUGCAGUGCUGCCCACAUACAUGAGGUUGUCAAGGGCAGGAAACAUGCCUCUUCUGCAUAUGUUGGGGCAUCUGGAAGGUCUGAGGCUACAUCACCAGGAACAUCUUUCUUCUGAAGCCUCUUCUAUCCCUGUCACCUUGGAGGUUUUCUGCAACAAAAUAUCAAACCUCUCUUCCUGUUUGAAGUAAAGGUCUUUGCAACUUUUGUGGUCCUUACGUGAUAAAUACAAUCAUGAUAACAA